AGGAUGUGCCCAGAGGGCGCCCUUCCUUCAGAGGCCUCGUUUGCCCGACACUUACGACAGGCCUUAGGACGUAAGGCGUGGACGUGCGUGACGUCACCCUCUGGCCUGCGAGAUGGCGAGGGCAAGUAGCGGGGCCGAUGCUCCCUUGGGAUCCGGGUGUGGCUCGGCUCAGGUAACGCCCGGCCCUAGGACUCCUUCGGCCUCCGCCCACGGGGAGUGCUGAGACUGCCGGCCGGUGUGCUGGCGACCUUUACCCAGGCUUGGUCAAGGCUUCCUGGCUGGCGCAACUGCACUGGCCUCGCAGUGGACGCCUGCUGGUGACCUUUACUCUGUUAAACCAUCUUCCUGCUCUCCCAGUGAGAGCCUCAAAGCUGGGGAAGGUUUCAGACUGAAAAGCCAGAAAAAACAGGUAGAAGUUACAAGAAAGAAAAAGUCUUUUUAGAAACACCACAAAGAAAAUGAUCAACAAUCAAGAACAGACAAAAGCAGAAUGGAUUGGCUGUGUGGAAGGUUUUUGUUUUAUGAGUGUGUGUAUAUGCAUGACUGUAUGUAUGGUACACGUGUGUGCAGUUGCCCUAGGAGGCCAGGAGAGGGCACUGCAUCUUCAGGAACUGGAAUUACUGGUGGUUGCAAGCUGCCUAAUGUAGGAUAUGGGAGCCAGACUCACAUCUUGAGAACCAAACUUGUGUCCGUAGGAAGAACAGCAAGUGCUCUUAACAGAUGAAGUAUCUUUCCAGCCCUACUUUGGAAGUGUUUAAACUGAGAUAAGGUGGCUUUCUGUCUUAAUUCCCUAAGAAUAAAGAAAAAAGUUUGUUGUAUGUGUUUCUACGCAGAUUGUGAAGCCAGAAGUUGACAUUAAACAUCUUCCUUGACC
rnacentral:lncRNA from 1 species